rnacentral:rRNA from 1 species
CGACCCCAGGUCAGGCGAGAACACCCGCUGAGUUUAAGCAUAUCAAUAAGCGGAGGAAAAGAAACUUACGAGGAUUCCCCUAGUAACGGCGAGCGAACCGGGAUCGGCCCAGCUUGAGAAUCGGACGGCUCCGUCGUCCGAAUUGUAGUCUGUAGAAGCGUCCUCAGCGACGGACCGGGCCCAAGUCCCCUGGAAGGGGGCGCCAGAGAGGGUGAGAG